rnacentral:lncRNA from 1 species
GAGGUGUUAGUAGCCAGACAUGUGGCUAGAUUUGUGCUUGAGCCCGAGAGUCUAUGGUCCUCGCUGAUGAGGGCUAAGUAUGGCGCCUUCGUACCGGGUGUGCGUGUGGGACGUCGUCAUUCCCCGGUGUGGAGGGAGAUAUGUGCCAGAGCUACGGUGGUGCUUCCGGAGAUCGGAUGGGCUAUUGGCGACGGUCAGUCUAUCGAUGUGAUGGAGGAUAGGUGGGUGACUGAGGUACCACUUUGCUGUAUGCCGACCAUGGUGGACUCGACGAGAUUAGCAGGGUGGAGGGUCAGUGACCUAUUGGAUGCUGAGGGGGGGCGAUGGAGGGAGGAGUUGGUUCGGGAGGUAUUUGGGGAGCAGUUGGCGGAGUUGGUCUUAGCCCGA